rnacentral:lncRNA from 1 species
GUCCCCCUUGGUGUCAGGAGUUCCCUAGCCAGGUGAGAGUUCGGUUCUCUCUCCAGACAUCCACUGCCUCCGCAUCAGGAACAUCGCUCCACUGCUGCAUAUCUGGGGAUAGGGAUGGAGGAAUCCGGGCAGCCAUCAUGGAGGAAGCAGCAGCACUUGAACUUGGCCUUGGGGUGGGGUAAGAGGCGGACUCAGUUGAACAAUGUGGGGGUGGGCACUCCUGGUGGAGUCACCUCGUGGGCAAAGGCAGGAGGCAGAGGCCUGGGGUCCCGGGAGGCAAGUGGUUUCUUAGGAGAAGUAGGAAGAUAGCG